rnacentral:rRNA from 1 species
AUUGAACGCUGGCGGCAGGCCUAACACAUGCAAGUCGAACGAGACGCGGACGUGUGAGUAAUGCAUGGGACUCUGGGUUAUGGAUGGGGAUCACGACGGGAAACUGAUGCUAAUACCGCGCACCAUAGGCUGAGCCAGAGUGGGUUUAGGUAGUUGGUGGGGUAAAGGCCUACCAAGCCGACGAUCUCGAGCUGGUCUGAGAGGAUGACCAGUCACACUGGGACUGAGACACGGUCAAGACUCCUACGGGAGGCAGCAGUGGGGAAUAUUGCACAAUGGGCGCAAUCCGGACGCAGCCAUGCCGCGUGUAUGAAGAAGGCCUUCGGGUUGUAAAGUACUUUCAGUGAGGAGGCGUUACUCACAGAAGAAGCACCGGCUAACUCCGUGCCAGCAGCCGCGGUAAUAC